AGGCAUUCGAAGGGAGAGACUCCUUGAUUUAUAAAGGUCUGUGGCUGUGUGGGGAAGCAGCAGCCAGUGAGGGGGCUGUUACAGUGAGUCUUAAACUAAAUCUGAAAGAUUCUUUGUUUCUUUUAAAAUUCUACUAUAGUUUUCUAAGUAUUACUAUAGUGAUCCAGGGCUGGGGGAGUCGUCAGAUUUGAGGGGUGUUUGAGCAGAGUUCGUGGAUAGCUGGAACUGUGGAGGAAGGAUGAAGGAGAAAUCAAGAACACCUGGCUCAGGCUGCGGCAGGCAGGUGGUUGGGAGUACCACACACUGAGGUACCGAAAGACAAAAGAACGGCGUGGAGAGAAUUAUCUUCCCUUCGUGCUCUAUGCAAACGUACAUAUAGGUCUUUGCAUUGCUUGCCUGGCGACUUCAGCUCCUUGGAGCACAUUCAAACACCAGAAAGGAGCCCAGAGAGAGAGCUAUCCAGUGAAAAAGGACAUUAAAACAUCCUUUUUGAUUUCAAGUUAUAUAGUGAAGUCUGAAAACACAGCUUCCAAAAUUAGCAUUGCCAUCUUAAUGAAUUCAUUUGACAGGAGAAAUCAGGCUACACAGAGCGACAUGUUCCACCAGGGGUUGGACAAAAGUCUCUUGGCAUUUUACCAUCCCCCUCCCCCCAACACAUAUGCUGUGCUUCGAAUGUCUAGGGAAGUUCCGUGGACGCGUUAGAGAAGCUCAAGAGAAAACUAUCUGCUAUUCAGCUCCUGCUAACUUGAAAACACUACACAGGCGCACGGUUUCGUGGUCUAUCAACUGAAUUAACACACAUGUAUUGGCGCUGGGCUUACUUGUGAAAAUGGGAAAGUUCCUUCGAGUGAGGAGGUUUGAAUAACAGCCUAAAUCCAGGUAAGAGCUCUUUUUUGCUCUUCCUUGUCCACUUCACCCACCAAUCACAGGCUUCUGAGUGAACUCCACCACCUGUGUUCCCUUAGGCCAGUUAGCGCAGCUGCUGCCAUUCUGCUCAGGGUCACCUUUCAGCCUCCCCCUCCCCCAUUAUCAAGGCACCCUCACUCCUCUGUCGUCGCAGUGUCCCCUACCCCCACUACCGGUAGCCUGAGAAUGCCUCUGAGGUUUGAUCUUGUUGUUUCCUUUGGAACCUGCUCAUCUGUUUCUCCAAUAUGCUUGAGCGAGUGUGGGUUUGUGUGCAUUAGACAAGCCAGC
rnacentral:lncRNA from 12 species